rnacentral:rRNA from 1 species
CAGUAGCCGCGGUAAUACGAAGGGGGCUAGCGUUGUUCGGAAUUACUGGGCGUAAAGGGCGCGUGGGCGGCCAUUCAAGUUAGAUGUGAAAGCCCUGGGCUCAACCUAGGAAUUGCAUUUGAUACUGUUUGGCUUGAGUUCGGGAGAGGUGAGUGGAAUUCCCAGUGUAGAGGUGAAAUUCGUAGAUAUUGGGAAGAACACCAGUGGCGAAGGCGGCUCACUGGACCGACACUGACGCUGAGGCGCGAAAGCGUGGGGAGCAAACAGGAUUAGAUACCCUGUAGUCCCUGUCUCUUAUACA